rnacentral:rRNA from 1 species
UACGUAGGGUGCGAGCGUUAAUCGGAAUUACUGGGCGUAAAGCGUGCGCAGGCGGUUCGCAAAGUCUGAUGUGAAAGCCCCGGGCUCAACCUGGGAACUGCAUUGGAAACUAACGGGCUUGAGUGUGGCAGAGGGGGGGUGGGAAUUCCACGUGUAGCAGUGAAAUGCGUAGAGAUGUGGAGGAACACCGAUGGCGAAGGCAGCUCGCUGGAACGUAACUGACGCUGAGACGCGAAAAGCGUGGGGGAGCAAACAGG